UACGAAGGGGACUAGCGUUGUUCGGAAUUACUGGGCGUAAAGCGCACGUAGGCGGAUUGCUAAGUCAGGGGUGAAAUCCCGGGGCUCAACCUCGGAACUGCCUUUGAUACUGACAAUCUCGAGUCCGAUAGAGGUGGGUGGAAUUCCUAGUGUAGAGGUGAAAUUCGUAGAUAUUAGGAAGAACACCGGUGGCGAAGGCGGCCCACUGGAUCGGUACUAACGCUGAGGUGCGAAAGCGUGGGGAGCAAACAGG
rnacentral:rRNA from 1 species